UUUCUGGAUCUUCCCUUUCACCUGAAAGCAGAAGCAACAACUGGAUUUUCUGUUUUCUCCUGUUCCUUGUUGAUUAAAGGAAAGUGGAAGUCAAGCUGAAAGAGCUAACAGCACACAGUACAAAGGUCAACCAUCAGCUCAGCACUGUGAAGAUUUCAAAAGCCUAUUCUUGGCAAACCACUUUUCACAGAUCAUUUUAACAUCAAGAAAGCCUAAUGGAAAGACUUGAAGCGUGACAAC